UACGUAGGUGGCAAGCGUUGUCCGGAUUUACUGGGCGUAAAGGGCGUGCAGGCGGUCUGUUAAGUUCAGGGUGAAAGCUCCCGGCUCAACUGGGAGAGGUCCUUGGAUACUGGCAGACUUGAGGGAGGUAGAGGAGAGUGGAAUUCCCGGUGUAGUGGUGAUAUGCGCAGAUAUCAGGAAGAACACCCGUGGCUAAGGCGGCUCUCUAGUACGGUACUGACGCUGAGACGCGAAAGCGUGGGGAGCGAACAGG
rnacentral:rRNA from 1 species